rnacentral:ncRNA from 1 species
CCUCGAUAUAGGCUCUUCGCCACCUGGGUCUGUAGUACGUUCCAAGGGUUGGACUUUUCUCCCAUUAAAGCGGUACGUGAGUUGGGUUCGGAACGUCGUGAGAUGGUUC